rnacentral:rRNA from 1 species
CUUUCCUUGAUGACGACUGGCGCACGGGUGAGUAACGCGUAUCCAACCUUCCCAUAACUACGGGAUAACCCGUUGAAAGACGGCCUAAUACCGUAUGAUAUCGUUUGCUGACAUCAAAUAACGAUUAAAGGUUUAGCGGUUAUGGAUGGGGAUGCGUCUGAUUAGCUUGUUGGCGGGGUAACGGCCCACCAAGGCGACGAUCAGUAGGGGUUCUGAGAGGAAGGUCCCCCACAUUGGAACUGAGACACGGUCCAAACUCCUACGGGAGGCAGCAGCC